rnacentral:tRNA from 1 species
UAGCUCAGUGGUAGAGCAACUGUUUUGUAAACAGUAGGUCGUCGGUUCGAAUCCG